UACGUAGGGCGCAAGCGUUGUCCGGAAUUAUUGGGCGUAAAGAGCUCGUAGGCGGUUUGUCGCGUCUGUCGUGAAAGCUUGGGGCUUAACCCCAAGUCUGCGGUGGAUACGGGCAGACUAGAGGCAGGUAGGGGAGAACGGAAUUCCCGGUGUAGCGGUGAAAUGCGCAGAUAUCGGGAGGAACACCGGUGGCGAAGGCGGUUCUCUGGGCCUGUACUGACGCUGAGGAGCGAAAGCGUGGGGAGCAAACGGG
rnacentral:rRNA from 1 species